GAUGAACGCUGGCGGCGUGCCUAAUACAUGCAAGUCGAGCGAACGGACGAGAAGCUUGCUUCUCUGAUGUUAGCGGCGGACGGGUGAGUAACACGUGGAUAACCUACCUAUAAGACUGGGAUAACUUCGGGAAACCGGAGCUAAUACCGGAUAAUAUUUUGAACCGCAUGGUUCAAAAGUGAAAGACGGUCUUGCUGUCACUUAUAGAUGGAUCCGCGCCGCAUUAGCUAGUUGGUAAGGUAACGGCUUACCAAGGCAACGAUGCAUAGCCGACCUGAGAGGGUGAUCGGCCACACUGGAACUGAGACACGGUCCAGACUCCUACGGGAGGCAGCAGUAGGGAAUCUUCCGCAAUGGGCGAAAGCCUGACGGAGCAACGCCGCGUGAGUGAUGAAGGUCUUCGGAUCGUAAAACUCUGUUAUUAGGGAAGAACAUAUGUGUAAGUAACUGUGUACAUCUUGACGGUACCUAAUCAGAAAGCCACGGCUAACUACGUG
rnacentral:rRNA from 1 species